ACAUUUCCAGUAGUUUUGGUAGACGGAGACGGAAUUAUUAGUAAUCCUUUUUAGAAAUCGAAUGGAUUCGGUCUUAUACAUACGCG
rnacentral:tRNA from 1 species